UACGGAGGGUGCAAGCGUUAUCCGGAUUUACUGGGUUUAAAGGGUGCGUAGGUGGGCCUGUAAGUCAGUGGUGAAAUCUUAAGCUUAACUUGGAAACUGCCAUUGAUACUAUAGGUCUUGAAUUAUCUGGAGGUAAGCGGAAUAUGUCAUGUAGCGGUGAAAUGCUUAGAGAUGACAUAGAACACCCAUUGCGAAGGCAGCUUACUACGGAUUGAUUGACACUGAGGCACGAAAGCGUGGGGAUCAAACAGG
rnacentral:rRNA from 1 species